CGCUGGCGGCGUGCUUCAUACAUGCAAGUCGAACGAGAAUCUUGUGCUUGCACAAGAGGAAAGUGGCGGACGGGUGAGUAAUGUGUAGAGAAUCUGCCCUGAAGAGGGGGACAACAGAGGGAAACUUCUGCUAAUACCCCAUAUGCGCGUAGUUGAGAUACUAUUCGUGAAAGAUUUAUCGCUUCAGGAUGAGUCUGCAUCUGAUUAGCUAGUUGGGGGUGUAAUGGACCACCAAGGCGACGAUCAGUAGCUGGUUUGAGAGGAUGAUCAGCCACAAUGGGACUGAGACACGGCCCAUACUCCUACGGGAGGCAGCAGUAGGGAAUUUUGCGCAAUGGGCGAAAGCCUGACGCAGCAACGCCGCGUGAUCGCAGACGGCCUUCGGGUUGUAAAGAUCUGUCAGUAGGGACGAACAAUGACUGUACCUACAGAGGAAGCACCGGCUAACUCCGUGCCAGCAGCCGCGGUAAUACGGGGGGUGCGAGCGUUGUCCGGAAUCAUUGGGCGUAAAGAGUUCGUAGGUGGUUUGUUAAGUUUGGUGUUAAAGGCGCAGGCUCAACUUGUGUAUGGCAUCGGAUACUGGCAGACUGGAAUGCGG
rnacentral:rRNA from 1 species